CUCUUGGGAAAUCGAAAGGCCUUCAUUGUUCUUCCAUGUCUUUAGUGUUCAUCCUUCCUAACUUAAGGAACUCUUAUCAGCCGAGGUUCCAAAUGGAGUUCAGGCUACCGCUAAGUCUACAAACCGAUUCAUGUCUGCAACUCACCAAGUGCUGCACCUUAAACGAGGCCAGCAACUCCAAUUAUGUUUUCUCUCCCUUUUCUAUCUACCUUGGUUUUAGCUAGCCUUGUAGGUUGCGGAUCCAGCGGUUGAACAUUGGCACAGAUAUUAUCAUUCCUCAAGUCCCAGAACAUCGAUCAUCUCCAACAGGUUGGCCGUCAACUCGUCGAUUCCGUCAAAGGACCUCUAACCAUUGGAGGCCCCCAUCUCUCUUUUAUCAACGGCAUUUGGGCUGAAAAAUCUGUUAAUCUAAAACCUACAUUCAAAGAUAUGGUUAAUUCGGUAUAUAAAGCAGAAGCCGAGGCCAUCGAUUGCGUGAAUAAGUGAUACAUGUUCAAUUGUGAACACCCAGGAGCAUAAUUGGAAUUGGAACUCUAGAAACAAGAACAAAAUUCGAAUUUGGGCUUGGGAGAUAGUUGCAUAAGAGUCUGCAUUCAGCAUAGGAGGUCGUGUUCUUGAUUCUUUUAGGAGCUCAUUGAGUCCUAGGAUAGUGGAGGCACUCAUUUGCACUCAAGAUUGACUUCGGUUAUCUCCGCAACCACUUAAUGUUGAAGAAAAAUUGGAUGAUAUUGAAAAAUAAAGGUAAUAGUUUGUUUUCUUCAUUAUUUCAUGUUCAUGAUUUUAAUAUAAUGAUUUUAUACUUGCAUUUGUAUCUUGAUUUACUUUAAUUUUCUUGCUACGUAGAUAUUAACACUAGUUCAAUGAUUGAGGUAAGUAUUUUUCAUGCUUUUGGAUUUGAAGUACCAAAACACUAUCUUUUUGAUAUGUAUUCUCUAUGCUUGAGAGUUGUGAACUCAAGAAAACACUUUCAUGUUGUAUAACUUUGAA